UACGGAGGGUGCAAGCGUUGUCCGGAUUUAUUGGGCGUAAAGCGCGCGUAGGCGGCGGCUUAAGUCUCACUGUGAAAGCCUGCGGCUCAACCGCAGGAGGCCAGGGGAUACUGGGCAGCUGGAGACAGGUAGAGGCGAGCGGAAUUCCGGGUGUAGCGGUGGAAUGCGUAGAGAUCCGGAAGAACACCAGAGGCGAAGGCGGCUCGCUGGACCGGUUAUGACGCUGAGGCGCGAAAGCGUGGGGAGCAAACAGG
rnacentral:misc_RNA from 1 species